rnacentral:rRNA from 1 species
CAGUAGCCGCGGGAAUACAGAGGGUGCGAGCGUUAAUCGGAUUUACUGGGCGUAAAGCGUGUGUAGGUUGUUGUUCAAGUCAGUUGUGAAAUCCCUGGGCUCAACCUGGGAACUGCUUCUGAGACUGAACGACUAGAGUACGGUAGAGGGUGGUGGAAUUUCCGGUGUAGCGGUGAAAUGCGUAGAUAUCGGAAGGAACAUCAAUGGCGAAGGCAGCCACCUGGGCCUGUACUGACACUGAGACACGAAAGCGUGGGGAUCAAACAGGAUUAGAUACCCCUGUAGUCCCUGUCUCUUAUAC